GAGUUUGAUCGUGGCUCAGGACGAACGCUGGCGGCAUGCCUAACACAUGCAAGUCGAACGGAGUUCUUUUUUCAGAGUUCUUCGGAACAAAGAAGACUGAACUUAGUGGCGGACGGGUGAGUAACGCGUGGGUAACCUGCCCUUUUGUGGGGAACAACUUCGAGAAAUCGAAGCUAAUACCGCAUGAGCUUACAGGAUCGCAUGAUCGUGUAAGGAAAGAUGGCCUCUGAAUAUGCUAUCGACAAAAGGAUGGACCCGCGUCUGAUUAGCUGGUUGGUGAGGUAACGGCUCACCAAGGCAACGAUCAGUAGCCGGCCU
rnacentral:rRNA from 1 species